AUGCCGUGAUGAGGACUGGCCAAGAUGUAUUCCUGCAGCCUUUCUCAAGCUUCUGGGAUGGAUUCCAUCCCUAUCUACUGGAAACUUGAUAUUCUCCCACUCAGAGCAU